CAGUCAGUCUAAGCCCUGAUAUUCAGAAUAAAGAAGCCUCCUUGAAUGUGUACUGUGGUAGUGGUUUUACAUUUGCCAUAAGGUCACUCUCUGUCAAUCCUGCCAGUAUUUCAAGAAAUUGAAAAUGUUCCUGGGUAGCAAGUGGCAUUAUCCACACUACUACAUGGAAGGAUUUUAGGAGUUUAAGUGUCAGAUUUCUUUCAUUAAUGCCCUGAAAUAUUAAUUGGAAGUUCAGUUAAGAUUAUGUUGCUCAAGAUGCUCGAGAGAACAAAUCUACAAAAGAAUCAAUACAGAAAACCGUACAAUUAGGUCAGUGCAUAAGUGUCCUAGAAAUGCCCAGCAGUUGUUUCCCAUUUAAAGUUCUUUUUCUUAUUUCCACAUCUGCAGAGAAAUGUCAGGUUUGGUAUCUUGAAUGCCUCCUAUCACUGUUUCAUCAAACAUGAUAUUGGAUCCGAUGUUAGUUAACAGCCAGUCUUGGUAUCUAUGGAACAACACCAGAUGUGUUUAAACAAUGCCCUAGCAGGUGCAAGACAUCUUCUCUAAUGCUUUUGCUGUUUGGAUUUUCUUGAUGCCUUGACUGAUGAUUAUGUUAAGUUUUAAGAUGUCAUGGUGAUGUAGAUGGAAAGUUUCAGUUUUAGCAUCGAUGAUAUGGGUUUUUAUCAACUUGCAGGGGACCAACCAUAAAAUCUCUUUAAGUUGGGAUUUAGAUGUAUAUACACAUUUUGAUAAUGACUUGCUCUACAAUAAUGUCAACAUAAACUGUGAGACUGACUCGAUUAAAAAGACGUAAUCUUGCAAGCAUUGGCUAUUCUAUUUUUCCUCUCCUAUUCUGUGUCUUAUAUGCUUACCUGAUUCUAUAGUCUUAUGAGGUUCAUUCUUUUCAGCA